rnacentral:rRNA from 1 species
UGGGGAAUAUUGGGCAAUGGGCGAAAGCCUGACCCAGCAACGCCGCGUGAGGGAAGAAGGGUUUCGGCUCGUAAACCUCUGUCCUAUGGGACGAAAGAGAUGACGGUACCAUAGGAGGAGGCCCCGGCUAACUACGUGCCAGCAGCCGCGGUAAUACGUAGGGGGCGAGCGUUGUCCGGAAUGAUUGGGCGUAAAGGGCGCGUAGGCGGCCCGUUAAGUCUGGGGUGAAAACACGGGGCCCAACCCCGUGCCUGCCCCCGAAACCGCCGGGCUCGAGCCCUGCAGGGGAUGGCGGAACUCCCGGUGUAGCGGUGGAAUGCGCAGAUAUCGGGAGGAACACCGGUGGCGAAGGCGGCCAUCUGGGCGGGCACUGACGCUGAGGCGCGAGAGCCGGGGGAGCGAACAGGAUUAGAUACCCUGGUAGU